UUGUGGUUAAACCGCAAAUAAGUGCAGAUGGUGGAUGCCUUGGUAUGGAAUGACGAUGAAGGACGUAGCAGCCU
rnacentral:rRNA from 1 species